GCGGUUCUUCCCGAUGAAGAAUCUGGCACUGAGCGACAGGGCGAGCACCGCGGAGCCGAUCAGCGCGUCUCUCUGGAGGAACAUCCGCGAAUAAUAUUAAUAAAUCAAUUAUUAUCACCACACUGUUAACCUGAGAUGUGAGUGAACAUGACUGAUGCAGGCUGCUGGUGUUGUCAGAUAUGCUGAAGCUGGAGGAGAUGCUGCACUGAAGACAGGAGAUGGAGGAUCUUCAGCCUCAGAACAGUAAGACUGAUCUGCUCAUCUUUACCAUCUCAACAGAGGGUUGUUCUGACCCACUAAUCUUCAAAAGAGGGCUGCAGCAGUGACUACACAGACGUCCUGAUGUAAACACAUGUUGGAGAUUAUUUACUUGCAUUGACUUGACCUGAUGUUCUUGUGGCCUCAUGAAGUUAAUGAUGUAAUUAUGUUAGCUAGUGUUUCAUCAAGACAACAGUGCUCUGGAAGACAUCACGAGUUCCCAGUUAAAGAGUGUGUACAGCUGAUUUUAGACAAUAAGCGUUCUUUACACACAGGUGAAGCAGAGGCUGUUUUAUUUGCUUCAAGAGUGAAAUGAAAGAGAGAUGACAGUUCUGUAGUCGGGAUUAUUGAUUGGAAAAUGGAGUUGAAAAUGUUGUAAAUGAUUUGGGAUGUUCAAUAGAGAAUAAAUAAUCAUGAUGCA